rnacentral:lncRNA from 1 species
CGCUGUAGCUGAGCUGCAGAAAUAGGAUGGGGGUGUUUGUACAACUCUUCUCUGGAUGCCUAGCCAGGGACAUUUCUUUCUUUCUAGUUUUUGUCUAACUCUAUGAAAUACUUUCUCCCACCCUGGCUGCCGAAGGUCAUUUCCACUGCUUGGUCAUUUUAUAAUGACUGUAAUAUUGGAAGAUCUGGCUGUGUGGCCAGUUUGUUCUGCCCUUAGGUCUUUGGCAGGAGAUUUGUGAGUUUGUAUGUGUGUGGGGGAGGGGAGGCUGCAUGUGAUCCAUCCAAAAGCCUCAUCCACAUAGGCUGAUAAAAGCAAACUCAAAGCAAGGAGACGCCCUAGACUGCGCUCAGGCCCUCCAACCACCUGUCCUUGCUCUAAAAAUGGACUCAUGGCUCCAGGAUCUGGACUCUGUAUCCUACUUGGAUUGCUGCCUCUGAUAUCCUUUGCAGGGUGGCAGGGCGUGUGGGAAUUCAGACAAGCUGAAUCUCAUCAACAACUUGAUGAACACCUGCUUUCAUUCCCGGUGCUGGACGCUGGUGGUAAGUGAAUAACCCAGGGCCACCACUGCCCAGGAUAUUCCAAAUAGAGGGGAUGUGGGCGGGUCAAUGCCUACUUAUUGUAGAAUGUGGUAGGAGAACUAUUAGAGGUCAGAAGUGGAGAAACCAACAUGGGGCAUCAUCUCAGGCCCUGAGGGGGUGGAGUCUUCAGAACUGGUAAGAAAAUCCACGUGCCCGGAGCAUGGGCUGCAGGGAAAACCAAGGGCUGGUGAGUCAGUGAGACACAGAUUGAACCCAUUUUACAGCUGAGAAAAGAGGAAUUUGGA